rnacentral:rRNA from 1 species
UACGGAGGGGGCUAGCGUUAUUCGGAAUUACUGGGCGUAAAAGCGCACGUAGGCGGCUUUGUAAGUCAGAGGUGAAAGCCUGGAGCUCAACUCCAGAACUGCCUUUGAGACUGCAUCGCUUGAAUCCAGGAGAGGUGAGUGGAAUUCCGAGUGUAGAGGUGAAAUUCGUAGAUAUUCGGAAGAACACCAGUGGCGAAGGCGACUUCAGUGCCAUAGUAGUACGCUGAGGUGUGAAAAGCGUGGGGAGCAAACAGG